rnacentral:rRNA from 1 species
AUUGAACGCUGGCGGCAUGCCUAACACAUGCAAGUCGAACGCUACUUGAGGGGCAACUCUUAAGUGGAGUGGCGGACGGGUGAGUAAUACGUAGGCAUCUGCCUUAGAGUGGGGGAUAACCUGUCGAAGGACGGGCUAAUACCGCAUAACCUCUACGGAGCAAAGGAGGCUAGCAAUAGCUGUCGCUUUAAGAUGAGCCUACGUCGGAUUAGCUAGUUGGUAGGGUAAAGGCCUCCCAAGGCAACGAUCCGUAGCUGGUCUGAGAGGACGAUCAGCCACACUGGAACUGAGACACGGUCCAGACUCCUACGGGAGGCAGCAGUGGGGGAUAUUGGACAAUGGGGGAAACCCUGAUCCAGCAAUGCCGCGUGUGCGAUGAAGGCCUGCGGGUUGUAAAGCACUUUCGGUGGGGAAGAAAUACUCAAAUUUAAUACAUUUGAGAGGUGACAUUACCCAAAGAAGAAGCACCGGCAAACUCUGUGCCAGCCGCCGCAGUAA